rnacentral:lncRNA from 1 species
AUGAUAGAGUUUUUUGUAAUCCAUGAUUGAAUUUUUUGUAACCCAUGAUCGAAUUGUUUUUUUCUUUUUUUGUAAUCCACGAUUGAAUUUUUUGUUUUUUUUUGUUUGUUUUUUUUUGUAAUCCAUGAUCGAAUUUUUUUUUGUAAUCCAUGAUAGAAUUUUUUGAAAAUUUGUGAUUUUUUUUUUUAAUCCAUGAUCGAUUUUUUUGAAAAUUUGUUAUUUUUUUUUUAAUCCAUAUUAUUCAAAGAGAAAAUGAGAGAGAUGGUGAUUCUGAGGCCACCCUAUCCCAGCCAUAUUAUUCACAUAUCGAGUCCCAACAGCAACAGUGUAGGGAUGAGCACG